rnacentral:rRNA from 1 species
UACGUAGGUGGCAAGCGAUACUCGGAAUCACUAGGCGUAAAGCGCAGGUAGGCGGUUUGGUAAGUCUCUUGUGAAAGCUCCUGGCUCAACUGGGAGAGGUCAAGGGAAACUACCAGGCUAGAGUGCGGAAGAGGAAGCUGGAAUUCCCGGUGUAGCGGUGAAAUGCGCAGAUAUCGGGAGGAACACCUGUGGCGAAGGCGGCCAUCUGGAAGACAACUGACGCUGAGACGCGAAAGCGUGGGGAGCAAACAGG